rnacentral:rRNA from 1 species
UAACGCGUAGGAAUCUACCUGGUAGUGGGGGACAACAUGUGGAAACGCAUGCUAAUACCGCAUACGCCCUACGGGGGAAAGCGGGGGACCUUCGGGCCUCGUGCUAUCAGAUGAGCCUGCGUAAGAUUAGCUAGUUGGUGGGGUAAAGGCUCACCAAGGCGACGAUCUUUAGCUGGUCUGAGAGGAUGAUCAGCCACACUGGGACUGAGACACGGCCCAGACUCCUACGGGAGGCAGCAGUGGGGAAUAUUGCGCAAUGGGCGAAAGCCUGACGCAGCCAUGCCGCGUGUGUGAAGAAGGCCUUAGGGUUGUAAAGCACUUUCAAUUGGGAGGAAAGGUUAUGCGUUAAUAGCGUAUAACUGUGACGUUACCUUUAGAAGAAGCACCGGCUAACUCCGUGCCAGCAGCCGCGGUAAUACGGAGGGUGCGAGCGUUAAUCGGAAUUACUGGGCGUAAAGCGCGCGUAGGCGGUUUAUUAAGUCGGAUGUGAAAGCCCCGGGCUCAACCUGGGAACUGCAUCCGAUACUGGUCGACUAGAGUACGAGAGAGGGAGGUAGAAUUCCACGUGUAGCGGUGAAAUGCGUAGAUAUGUGGAGGAAUACCGGUGGCGAAGGCGGCCUCCUGGCUCGAUACUGACGCUGAGGUGCGAAAGCGUGG